rnacentral:rRNA from 1 species
ACUUUCAACAACGGAUCUCUUGGCUCUCGCAUCGAUGAAAAACGCAGCGAAAUGCGAUAAGUAGUGUGGAAUGGCAUAAUUUUGGGGAAUCAUUGGAAUCUUUGGAAACGCAAAUUGCAACUCCUGGUAUUUCCGGGGGAGUAUGCCUGUUUGGAGGGUCGUU